AGAUGACGACGCAUUUGGACCCCUUAAGAGGGUCAUAGUUACUCCCGCCGUUUACCCGCGCUUUUGUUCCAU